rnacentral:lncRNA from 1 species
CUUGAAAUGGAUCGCUAGGCUAGUCUUAAUCGCAGUUCCAAGGGUGGUUAUCCUAUUUUGGCCAACUUCUGUUCUAGCACCUUCGUGUGAAUCUUAAUGGUGGAUCAAAAGAAUGGAUGACUCACAUCUCUCACCCCUCAAGUCUCCUUUUGACUUAGAUUGACGGUCAAGAUUUGAUCUUACUGAAGAUGACAAACCCUAAGGCAUAAAAAAUAUAUAAAAAGGGACUCUCCCCAAUUACCAAAUUCUCUACACAUCUUCUCUCUCCUCUCUUUAAAAGUUCUCUUUCUCUCCCUAGUUGUUUGAAAAGGGGCACACCACAAAUCUAGCUCUCUCUCUCUCUUUUGGUGGAUUCGAAGGGGGGGGGGCAUGCCUUAAGUAAUAACUCUCUCUUUCUCUCUCAAGUUAGUAAAGGAGAGGGAGCAAACCCAUGCUAGGUGUUGAUAAAUGAGAGGGAGUAAACCGAUUCUAGUUGUUGGUAAAGGAGAGGGAGCAAACCCAUGCUAGGUGGGUUGCAAAUAGGGCCAAACAAAGCUUGUAGAUCUCUCUCUUUGAUUUCUAACUCUCGUCUCUCUAAAGAUCAGCAAAGGGGUUUGAGUAAGAUUAAUGCAUUGAGGCCUUAGGUAGUUAGUUUUAGAUCGAGAUCCAUACACCAUUGAGUGGGUUUUGUCAUAAGUAGGAGAAUCAAGAGACUGAUCAUAUAUCUCGAGCACCAUUGGAAGGAAGAGACUCGACGCGAGGUGUACUAAGCCCG